UGUGUAGGCGGUUGUUUAAGUUUGGUGUGAAAUCUCCCGGCUUAACUGGGAGGGUGCGCCGAAUACUGAAUGACUUCGAGUGCGGGAGAGGAAAGUGGAAUUCCUGGUGUAGCGGUGAAAUGCGUAGAUAUCAGGAGGAACACCGGUGGUGUAGACGGCUUUCUGGACCGUAACUGACGCUGAGACACGAAAGCGUGGGUAAGCAAACAG
rnacentral:rRNA from 1 species